UAUUAGAGGCACCGCCUGCCCAGUGACACACGUUUAACGGCCGCGGUACCCUGACCGUGCAAAGGUAGCAUAAUCACUUGUUCYCUAAAUAGGGACUCGCAUGAAUGGCAUCACGAGGGUUYAACUGUCUCUUACUUUCAACCAGUGAAAUUGACCUGUCCGUGAAGAGACGGACAUGUAUUAAUAAGACGAGAAGACCCUGCGGAGCUUCAAUUUACUAGUACAACUAAAAAUCACACAAACCCACAGGCCCUUAAACCCCCAUACCUGUACUAAAAAUUUUGGUUGGGGUGACCUCGGAGCACAAUCAAACCUCCGAACAAUCCAUGCUAAGACUACACAAGCCAAAGCAAACUAAUACUUGCAAUUGACCCAAUAAUUUGAUCAACGGAACAAGUUACCCCAGGGAUAACAGCGCAAUUCUAUUCUAGAGUCCAUAUCAACAAUAGAGUUUACGACCUCGAUGUUGGAUCAGGACAUCCUAAUGGUGCAGCAGCUAUCAAGGGUUCGUUUGUUCAACG
rnacentral:rRNA from 1 species